rnacentral:rRNA from 1 species
AUGCAGGCCUGGAGCUCCAUAUGGUCCCAUGUUUUCAGCCUCGCCCCGGCCCGGCCUAGCCUCCCCCGCUACCGGCGGCGCUGCUCCGUCGCGCACCUCGCCGAGCUCGCGCUGGAGCUGGCGCCGGGUGGAGCUCGCGCCAUGGCCUCCAUAUCCUCCCCUCGCGCUGGAGCAGGCGUCGGGUGCUCGCGCUGGACGAAAGAGGGUCCGAGAGCACCAUGGGCGCCUUCCUCCUCCACCUGCUGCCUGCUCGCCGUCGCGGCCAAUGCCGGCUUGCUGGUGGUGCUGUUGCUAGGGCUCAACAAGGACGGCCUCUACUUGCUGGACGCCAAGCGCGCGCUCACCACCUCCGCGGGCGCGGCCGCGCUCGCGGACUGGAACCCCCGCGGCGCCACGCCCUGCAGCUGGACGGGCGUCUGCUGUGUCGAAGGCCACGCCACGCCACACCCUGCAGCUCAAUGGCUUGUUCCCUCCCGUGCUCUGCCACACUUGGCCGACGAGCGCUGGUCGGCUGGUCUGGCUGCGGCGCGUACAGCCAUACCCAGCCGCUCCUCGCCGUCGCAAGGUGCUGCAGGCGGCUGCGCCGGCUCCGGGUGGCCGCCUCGUCGCGUCCGUCGAGUGGACGGCGACGACCCAGGCACGCGCCACGUCGGGCUGCUGCUGCGGCGGGCACGGCGACAAGCCGGGACCGAUCUGCGUCGGGCUGCUGCCUCUCGCCGAGCUGCUGCUGCGGUGGGCACGGCGUCGGGCCGUGGAUGGCGCGCGACACGGCCAACAGCUCGGACGGCGAGCUCCAUCCGCGGCUUCUCGCCGGCAGCCAUGGCCGCGCUCUGCUUUCUUGCCGCCCCUGCUGUGUUCGAUGAAAUGCCGAAACAGACAUCCUCCCAAAUAGGUCAGCACCGUUGGGUGCACCGCCCGUAUCCGCUUGUCCGGCGGUGUCGACUUGUCCGUUUGCCAACCCAAACGAAUAAAAGAAAAAACAAAUAG